AUGCGAGGGAGCUGGCAGUCUCCAUCCUGUGUGGCGGCCCUGGUGCCAACUCCUGCCGCGGCCGCUGGCACUGACGGCCCCCACCUUCACCCAUGGUUGCUCCAAUGUCGCCUCAGGAGCAACAGCAGCCGAAACACACACCCCGCUGGAGCAAAGCGGCUGCUGCAGGGCGGGCACAACGGCGUUGAUGGCACCGGCAGGAGGAGCCAGAGCGCCCAGCACGGCUGGAGCAUCUGCUGCCGACGACGCGGAAGCUGGGCAAGGAGCCGGAGAGGUGGUCGUCCGGGCCAGGGAGUUCGCCGUGCUCGGCGCAGCUGUAGCAGCAGCUCCCGCCGUCGGUGA
rnacentral:rRNA from 1 species